AAAAAUAAAUAAAUAAAUAAAAAGUCUCAAUCUUAGAACCAAAUUAAUCUAGAUAUUGCAUAUUACUAAUUUCACAGUCGAGGAAGUCCUGAAUUGAUAAAUUUCUUCAUUAACAUAUAGUACCAAAAAGCAUGAAAUCCAAUGAGAAGGGCUCAAUGGCAGAGAAGUUGCAACUGAAAUUUUCCUUACGAGUAGAUUGAGAACCAUAAGA
rnacentral:misc_RNA from 1 species